GCUAACGUGGUGCCCGGCGAUGCAGGAAUACAGAGGGUGCGAGAUGUAAUCGGAUUUACGGGGCGUAAAGCUGGCGUGGGGGGCUUUUGUAGUCGUAUGUGAAAUCCCUGAGCUUAACUGAGGAAUUGCAUUCGAUACUGGGAGGCUAGAGUAUGGGAGAGGAUGGUAGAAUUCCAGGUGUAGCGAUGAAAUGCGUAGAGAUCUGGAGGAAUACCGAUGGCGAAGGCAGCCAUCUGGCCUAAUACUGACGCUGAGGUACGAAAGCAUGGGGAGCAAACAGGAUUAGAUACCCGAGUAGUC
rnacentral:rRNA from 1 species